rnacentral:rRNA from 1 species
UACGUAGGUGGCAAGCGUUAUCCGGAAUUAUUGGGCGUAAAGGGCUCGUAGGCGGUUUGAUAAGCCGGGUGUGAAACCUCCAAGCUCAACUUGGAGCGGCCACUCGGAACUGUCAUGACUUGAGUCAGGUAGGGGAACAGCGGAAUUCCAGGUGUAGCGGUGAAAUGCUUAGAUAUCAGGAGGAACACCGGUGGCGAAGGCGGGUCUCUGGGCCGAUACUGGACGCUGAGGAGCGAAAGCGUGGGG